UUGUGAUGCCCAAUUAUCGGGGGCGGCGUUCAGCCAACCCCGUCCCUUUGCACCGCGGGAUGUUCCUGUCUCAAGCCUUGAGCAAUCAGGUUUGUUGACGGUACAUUCGGCGGCUGACUCGGGGAGGCCGAACAACAACUCGGCGCGGUCAGCGCCAAGGAUUUGGAAUUACGUGUAUGCCAUUCUCAUCCGUGGGUUUGUCAUUACAUCAAUCUAAAAAAUCACGACUCUCGGCAACGGAUAUCUUGGCUCUUGCAUCGAUGAAGAACGUAGCGAAAUGCGAUACUUGGUGUGAAUUGCAGAAUCCCGUGAACCAUCGAGUCUUUGAACGCAAGUUGCGCCCGAGACCUUUAGGUUGAGGGCACACCUGCUUGGGCGUCAUGCUAUGCGUCGCUCCCACAUCCGUCUCGGAUAUAGGACGCGGAUAUUGGCKAUCCGUUCAAAUCAUUGCGCGGUUUGCCUAAAAUUUGGACCUUUGGCGGGCUGCGAUACGUCUAGUGGUGGUUGUUGGCUCAUUGCUAGCCGCGAUUGACAGAAGGACGCGUCGAUGCCC
rnacentral:rRNA from 1 species